UACGUAGGGCGCAAGCGUUGUCCGGAAUUACUGGGCGUAAAGAGCUCGUAGGUGGCUUGUCACGUCGGGUGUGAAAGCCCGGGGCUUAACCCCGGGUCUGCAUUCGAUACGGGCUAGCUAGAGUGUGGUAGGGGAGAUCGGAAUUCCUGGUGUAGCGGUGAAAUGCGCAGAUAUCAGGAGGAACACCGGUGGCGAAGGCGGAUCUCUGGGCCAUUACUGACGCUGAGGAGCGAAAGCGUGGGGAGCGAACAGG
rnacentral:rRNA from 1 species